CUGAUUAGAAGCUUGCUUCUAUGACGUUAGCGGCGGACGGGUGAGUAACACGUGGGCAACCUGCCUGUAAGACUGGGAUAACUUCGGGAAACCGAAGCUAAUACCGGAUAGGAUCUUCUCCUUCAUGGGAGAUGAUUGAAAGAUGGUUUCGGCUAUCACUUACAGAUGGGCCCGCGGUGCAUUAGCUAGUUGGUGAGGUAACGGCUCACCAAGGCAACGAUGCAUAGCCGACCUGAGAGGGUGAUCGGCCACACUGGGACUGAGACACGGCCCAGACUCCUACGGGAGGCAGCAGUAGGGAAUCUUCCGCAAUGGACGAAAGUCUGACGGAGCAACGCCGCGUGAGUGAUGAAGGCUUUCGGGUCGUAAAACUCUGUUGUUAGGGAAGAACAAGUACGAGAGUAACUGCUCGUACCUUGACGGUACCUAACCAGAAAGCCACGGCUAACUACGUGCCAGCAGCCGCGGUAAUACGUAGGUGGCAAGCGUUAUCCGGAAUUAUUGGGCGUAAAGCGCGCGCAGGCGGUUUCUUAAGUCUGAUGUGAAAGCCCACGGCUCAACCGUGGAGGGUCAUUGGAAACUGGGGAACUUGAGUGCAGAAGAGAAAAGCGGAAUUCCACG
rnacentral:rRNA from 1 species